AAAGUGAAAACCAAACUUUACAGGGUUAUUCAAUAAAAUUACGAUGUUGGGAAUUCAAAGUUAUUUUCACGAUAGGCUAAAAUAACCAAAUUAGAAAAAAUGUCCCAGUUAAUUCUGUUUUACAUUUGGCUAUUUUCACCUUAAAUUUGAAAAUUCACUUUCAAUCCCUAAUAAUUCUCAAUUUAGGGAAUGACCUUGUAUGUCCC